CAGUGGGGAAUAUUGGACAAUGGGCGAAAGUCUGAUCCAGCAAUGCCGCGUGUGUGAAGAAGGUCUUCGGAUUGUAAAGCACUUUCGACGGGGACGAUGAUGACGGUACCCGUAGAAGAAGCCACGGCUAACUACGUGCCAG
rnacentral:rRNA from 1 species